CCCAUUAGAAGCCAGGAGCACUACCUCAUUGUGAUGACAAAAAUGUCUCUGGACAUUGCCAAAUUUCUCCCUGGUUAGGAAAAAUCAUGCCCAGCUGAGAACCAUUGGACCCAUCACUCAAUAGGUUUUGGUACAAACUUAAGAGAAUAUCAUCAUUCCUAUGGUUUCACAUGGUGCUUAGCAGCAUGAUUCUAGUGACCAACAUCUCAUCGAAUCUAUGGGUUAUUUAACAAUGUUGGAGACUCGACAUCCAGGUGGUGGCUGGUCUGGAAGAAAAGACACCUCAGCACUUAUUCUGCAUGGCCCAGGAGUAAAAGCCUCACGCAGGUGGCUGCGAUUGGAAUGAAGCAGGCCCCCCGCCCCUCCCUGCAGACAGCACAUUCUCUGGUCAAUCCACCCAUCCCUCCUCUGCCCACGACCCACCAAGGAGGAGGCUUUGCUCUUAGGGAAUACAGGUGAAGAAAACGAUUGCAUUUCCUUUUCCCAAAUUAAAUCUCCAA